CAAAAUCAAUAAGAAUUCCUCUACUUUUCUCUAAUUCUCUCCAAUACUCAUCCGCAUUUACAUCUAUUCCGCUCCUUCCUCUCGUUGCAAAGUGCAAAAUCAAUGGAACGCCUGGAAAGCCUGGAAAAGUUGAGGAAGGAAUUGGCGCGAUGGGGCGAUGCAGCGUUCUAUUAUCAGAAGGACAACUAUAUUAAGUCCCACAAUCGCUGUUUUGAGGGUUUUGAAGAAACGUUUAUGGGGAUUUGCGAGAAAAUAAAGGAGCAGAUGGCCACCAAUGAGUAUGCUUCUCUCUCUCACUUUCUUCUUCAGAAUUGUCCGCUUUAACUUUUCUUAAAUCUUUGAACGAAUCAAUGAUACUCUUGAUUUUUGUGUUAGUUUUUUUUUUCUUUCUUUUCUGUUAGAUAUUUUUGUCUUCUCCUUUGGCUUUUUGGCUCUGUAAUUUUCUUAGGUUUUGUCUAUUAUAUGGUUAUAAUAAUGGGAUUUUAAUUAUUCUUGUCACAUCACCUUAACGAUUAUAGACCCAUUUGUAAAUUUAACUUAAAUCACUCCCGGGAAAGAAAACAAUGAAAAAUUUCACAAACAUAUAAUUGCACAUCUUACUCAAAAAUUGGUGAGAUGAUGUCCUCUGUUUUCUUCUUCUAGCGUGUAUGAGUUCCAAAAUUAUAAGGAGAUGACUAGUGUGAGGAUCUUUAUUUGCAAAUUCUCAACACUGAUUAUAUAUUCCUUCAUGAGUUCUCUUUGGAGAAUGACUCUAGCACCCUUGGGUCAUGUGAAACGAUACAGAUUUGACGAUUUGAAAGAUAUGAUUGGAAACUUUGACAGGGAUAUUAGAAAGACUAUGCACGGGAGAUUGUACGAAGGUGUCAUUCACGAUGACAAAGGCGUAGAAGUGCAAGAAGUUACUAUCAAGACAUGGGAUUUCUAUUGUCCAAGACAGAAGUACUAUGGUGACCAUCCAUACAGAUUUUGUGUAUGUUACCAUCGUUAUAUUGGAUCCCAUUUCUCUUUCUCUACCCUUUUCUCUCUCUCUCUCUCUAUUGGAAAAUUUGCAGAAUGAGCUUGAAAUACUGACGGGUGAAAACCCGCAUCCCAAUUUGAUGAAGAUAAAGGGGUUCUGCUUCCAGGAAGCACUUGCUGUUGUGUAUGAUGAAAAACCAACUAUGUUUUUGUCGUAGUUGCUUCAUUUUGGUAUUAGAGCUACUCAAGAAAGCUAUAGUUUGUUACUAAAUAAAUUUACUACUUCUGUGUGCUCUUGAUGGGUCAUUUGUACCUUUGGCAGGCACUGACUUUCGUUUGCAUGGUAGAAUAAAUGUGGCUACUCAACUUGCAAGCCUCAUUGCUUGGUUGCACGAGAAGCAAUUUACUGUCCGAGCAAUCGAUCUUUCUGACAUAAUGAGUGACGAGGUAACAACACCUUAUGGACCUCCUUAGUUACUAGUUGAUGUUUUACUAUUGACAGUUCAAUUGGCUUGCAGGACUUCAACAUAAAAGUGUUCGACUUUAAUUUCCUUGCUCCUAUAAGGGAGGAUAAUAAAACGGUGUACCCCCUUAUUUAUCCUGUCAACCCAGAUUCUCUUGAGUAUGUAAGUCGUGCGUCUCUGCGACUUCUUUUUUCUUAUUUAGUUCAAUGUCUGUACUGCUAGUGAACUUAGUUGUGAGUGAUUAUGGUCAAUGACAUAUCUGUUUUAUUAACUUAUUAUUUGAACCAGUAAUCACUUGUGGGACUAUACUGGGUCGUUGUUGUUGUAUCUAAACCAGUAAGCUCCCAACGUCUGUAUGUCAUAAUCAUUUAACAAAAGCAGUUAGUUUGACUUGUGAAAGAAGAGAUUUUCUCUGUAUUUGCUAAUAGUCCGAUGUAUUGCAUGUUAAAUUUAGAGCGCUUCAGUGACAUUUGUGUUUUUCUUAUCGUCCAAAAAUGGAUCUUAUUGAUGUACAGUGCACAAAGAAGGUGUUGUUGUUAGUACAUCAGAAGGUUGCGAAAGCAAAAACUGAAACAUCGGAAGUAUGUCAAUUAUCAAGUAUAUAAGGACUAUGAAAUCUAGCUAGGUUUCAACUUGAUGUACGCAGUUCAUUCUACACUAAAAGGAGUAAAAAUGUAGCAGUUGAGCUUGAUCUUCAGAGUGC
rnacentral:lncRNA from 1 species